rnacentral:rRNA from 1 species
GCAGGCGCGCAAAUUACCCAAUCCUAAUUCAGGGAGGUAGUGACAAUAAAUAACGAUACAGGGCCCUUCUGGGUCUUGUAAUUGGAAUGAGUACAAUGUAAAUACCUUAACGAGGAACAAUUGGAGGGCAAGUCUGGUGCCAGCAGCCGCGGUAAUUCCAGCUCCAAUAGCGUAUAUUAAAGUUGUUGCAGUUAAAAAGCUCGUAGUUGAACUUUGGGCCUGGCAGGCCGGUCCGCUUUUUGGCGAGUACUGACCCUGCCGGGCCUUUCCUUCUGGCUAACCUCCCCUCUGGAGAGGCGAACCAGGACUUUUACUUUGAAAAAAUUAGAGUGUUCAAAGCAGGCCUUUGCUCGAAUAUAUUAGCAUGGAAUAAUAGAAUAGGACGUUUGGUUCUAUUUUGUUGGUUUCUAGGACCAUCGUAAUGAUUAAUAGGGACGGUCGGGGGCAUCAGUAUUCAGUUGUCAGAGGUGAAAUUCUUGGAUUUACUGAAGACUAACUACUGCGAAAGCAUUUGCCAAGGACGUUUUCAUUAAUCAAGAACGAAAGUUAGG